GGCAGAGAGCGAAAGACCUAGAUAGAUCCGGGGCUAGACACUGUCAGCAUGAGGACAGGGGCAGGACCCGGACGGGACUGCAGCGUGAGGCCGAAGGGAACACUGAGGCCACACAGAAUCCCAGAAACAAAGGGUUUUCCAGAAACGGAAGCAACUGAACCUGAAAUGAGAGGGCACGCCAAGCACCAUGAAGUAAACCAGGCCAAGGAUGAGGAGCCAGGAGCUGAGAAAUGACAACGGGGGAGGAAUGAACACAGGAUUCUGACCUCACGCUGACUUCCCAUGAUACCCUCGUGUGCAGCAUGUUCCCCUGGAAUCAAACUCAGCCUUUGCCUGGAAUGUCCUGCACUCCCCAAUUUCACCUAAUGAAAUCCUACCCAUCUUGAAAGCUCACCUGAAACAACAUGAAGUUACUUUUAAUCAACCCAGGUAGAAGAGGCUGUUCUCAAGAAUCCCAGCCACAUGUUCUUUCUCUCGUUCCUGGGGUGCCAACCACAUGUACUGUGGGUGUCUGCAUCACUGCCUCCUUAAUGUGCUGGUUCAGAAGUUCGUUGAGGCGGCAAUAUCUAUUUCAUCUUCCCUUGUCAUAGGAUCCAACACAAUGCUUUGUACCUAGUAGAUGUUCGAUAAAUAUUUACUGAAGGCAUAGAAGCCUCAAUUGGAGACAAAUGGGGGUGGAUCUGUGAUUCAAGACAAUAGAGAAUCCAAUUCAGUGUCCACUCGGUGGCCAACGGCUUCAGGUGCAGAGAAGAAAGAGGAAAGUGAAAAAUUAUUUCUCCCUUUGCUAGUGCUCCUCCUCCAACAUCUAGAAGGUGUACUCCCAGCAUUUCUUCAGCUUGGCUCAUGCUGCAUUAUUUUACAUGUGUUAAUUGAGGCUUUAUAAAUAAAUUCUUUGCUAGCAGUA